rnacentral:rRNA from 1 species
UACGUAGGGUGCAAGCGUUAUCCGGAAUUAUUGGGCGUAAAGAGCUCGUAGGCGGUUUGUCGCGUCUGCUGUGAAAACUGGAGGCUCAACCUCCAGCCUGCAGUGGGUACGGGCAGACUAGAGUGUGGUAGGGGGAGACUGGAAUUCCUGGUGUAGCGGUGGAAUGCGCAGAUAUCAGGAGGAACACCGAUGGCGAAGGCAGGUCUCUGGGCCACUACUGACGCUGAGAAGCGAAAGCAUGGGGAGCGAACAGG